rnacentral:rRNA from 1 species
UACGUAGGGCGCGAGCGUUUGUCCGGAAUUAUUGGGCGUAAAGAGCUCGUAGGCGGCUUGUCACGUCGGGUGUGAAAGCCCGGGGCUUAACCCCGGGUCUGCAUUCGAUACGGGCUAGCUAGAGUGUGGUAGGGGAGAUCGGAAUUCCUGGUGUAGCGGUGAAAUGCGCAGAUAUCAGGAGGAACACCGGUGGCGAAGGCGGUUCUCUGGGCCUUACCUGACGCUGAGGAGCGAAAAGCGUGGGGAGCGAACAGG